rnacentral:tRNA from 1 species
GCUCAGUUGGUCAAGCAUCUGACUCUUGAUUUCACCUCAGGUUCAUGAUCUCAUGGUUUGUGGGAUCGAGCCCCACAUUGAGCU